GGGAAGUGUAGAAAUACAGAGCUUUCCAAGUCUUGCAGAAUCAGUGGCUCAAAUUGCAUCUAGAAGAGCUCCCCACGCCACCUGUGGGGUUAGAGGGCUCACAGAGUAACCCGUCCCACCUGGAGAAGAGCAAUCACCUGUCCUCGCAGGGCUGUGAGGGCUGGGGAGCUGAUAUAAGUCAGGCUGAAGUGAGGCUGGCUGCUUUUUGGAGGAGUGGUUGGGCAAGACAGUGCUCUGGUGGUCAGAUCAUCCUGAGCAUCAGGCAGCAGUGCUGGCUGGACCUGGGAUGCUGUUUGCUUGUGUAAGGCCCACUGGCUUCUGCUGCUCAGGAAAUACCCCCAAACCCACCAGUGGACGCUCACCCCAACCCCCCCCCUCCCACCCAAAGGCUCCCGGUUGGUGCUUGCACUUUCCUGCACGAGGACCAUCAGCAGGAGAGGGAUUUGCUGCAGACUGCAGCAGGAAAGGUGGAAUGCGGAGCGUGAGAGGAGCAGCCACCUUUCAGGCCAACAGCUGCUUUGGGGGAUGGGUUGGAUAAAUGUGCAGGGUUUCCAAUCAGCCCCACACACCCCGGUCAGAAGGCUUCACCGGAGCACAGCGUGGGGGAAUGGCUGCUGAUAACACUGCGUCCAUCCCAGACAUCCCCACAAACUUUCCUGGAGGAACCCACACCACCAGAGGGGACCGCAGUGGGUCACAACCUGACCCGACCCCAAAGGGCAGCGAUGCAGAUGGCAGUGGGAAAACCAGGUCGGAGUGCAUUGGAAAGAGCUGAAAGUCAGAGGGAUCUCCUCCAAGCCACCUCUCGCUGCUUUUGGAUGCUAGGAGGAACCAACUCUGCGUUGAAGCACUUGGCACAAGGCAGGACCAAGCGCAGAUCCCCCUUCCAACACAUGCACGAGAGCAGAGCUGAACCGUUCGCACAGAAAACAGCUGGAAAAACACAACAAAAUCAAAAGGUCCUUCUGCUCCAUCUCCUGCCUGUAGGUUCUGGUGGGUUGCAGAGCGUUGCCCUCCAUGGUUUGCAGCUCUGCAGAAGGGCUGAGAGCACAGGGACACCAAAGUGUGCCUCUCCCAUGGGGGAGCGUGGGGUCAGCGAGGUGCCCUGGGGACACUCACCCCAACCCAUCUCAUGUCCAGCCGGCGUCUCCCAUAUCCAUCAGCCACGUGCAGCCAGCGCAUUAAAAUCUCAUUUAAAAAGGAAUCAAGGUUUAAUCCAUCCGUGUUUGAAAAUGGUCUUUUCCCAUAUCCUGCUUUUGGCACGGCCUCCCAGCCGGGCCGUUGCACCUCACCCCAGAAUGGGCUCAGCUGCUGCAGCCGGGGGUCCCACGCCGGCACCGAGCGGCCAACGGAGCUGCCAUGUUCAUAUUUUAUCUUUUAUUGGCUUUUUUUUUUUUUCCCUCUUUCCCCCUAUUUUACCCUUUCUGCACCACGACUCCCUGGGGCCCCAGCAGAACAUCUGGCCAAGCCACUUCUGGUUCCAUUUAUUGGCGGAUAAUUUAUUUGUGGACCAGAAGGGAAAAGAGACCCAACUGUUCAGAGGAGGAGUAUUGGUAGGGCCGUUGGUGGUGCUGCUCAAACACGAGCUCCUUAGGUGUGAUCCAGACCCAGGGAAGUCAAACACAGAUCUCCCCUUUGGAUCCAGAGCUGUCAGAUCUCAGUCCAAACGCACGGAGGGAAAUCAUUCGAAUGCACACUCUGUGAGUAUUAUUGGUGUUAUUCGUUCGCUGGGAAUAUUUGGAGGUAUUCAUUCCUUGCACACAUUACCAGAGCAGCUCCCGCUCGGAGAACGAAAUUAAAGAGUGCAAACCACCACUUCUCACUUUUCUGUCCUUUUCUCUUUCGUGCCCCUUUUUGCCCCCCAUCCCUUUCUUGUGGUGUAUGAGCACGGAAUAAAGGCAGCAGCACAGCAGCUCACAGCACACGAGUGCUUUGCAGCAGGACAGCCCUCCGGAUCCCUGCCUUCCCAGCACCCAGGCACCCUCCCCAUUGCUUAUUUGUGCUGCAGCAUUGAGCUCCACUCAUUGCACAUGAAAGGUGUCAGCGGGCUGCUCUGCUAUCAGCAGGCUCAUGGAGCUCUCUUAAGCACAUCCAAUGGCCGUGGAUCCUAUUCAAUUUCCCCCACGUUUGGCUAAAAUUACCCAGCUUUCAAAAAUAUCAAUGGUUGGUUUUUUUUUCCUCCUUCUUUCCUUGCACGACCAAAAGCGUUGGGUUUAAUUUUUCUUCAAAUCAAAAUCCAGAGGUGUUUUCCGAGGAGGCAUUUUGGGGGAAAAAAAAGAAGAAAUAGUGAAACAUUUCACAAAUCCGGCAGCCAGAAGCAAUGGAGCCCUCUCCCCUGGGAGGAGUCUCAUUUACUUCUGGCAUUGCCAUGCAUAGCAGUGGUCAGCCCAUUGUACACGUGGCUAAUCACAAUGUGGAGAGUGAAACGGGAUUCUUUGCAUUGACUUUUGGGAACGACAGCCCGAGCCUGAAUGCUUCCCUGCACUGAAACACCUUCAUGUGUGCACGGUGCAGCAUCCGGCAGCUGAAGGGAUUCUGAGCUCUCUGACAACUGCUGUUCCCCCCUUUCUGGCUGGCAGCAGGGACUGAUCAUUACAAGCUGCCCCAUGUAGGGUCACCAUCCCUGGGGAUGUUGCAGAGCCGUGGGGCUGUGGCACUGAGGGAUGCGGGCAAUGGGCACAGUGGGUCAGCAGUUGGAUGUGAUGUUCUUAGAGGUCUUCUCCGACCUGAAUGGCUCUGUGACCCUAUUUCCAUAGACUCAGCCUGCGUGCCAACCUCUUGGGCAGGUUUUGGAUGGGAUGAUGGUGGGACACCCGGCCCCUCCCUGGGCCACAAACCUCGGGCACCCACGUGCCACCACGAGCUGCCUGGGGGCAAGGCGAGCUGAGCUGCCCACCUUUCUGGGCUCACACAGAGGUUUCCUUCCCACCCGCACAGCCCAUGCGUGACAUCAGAUCUCACAGCUCGGGCUCUCACGGGGCUUUUUCAGCUGUCAUGAGAUCAGCUUUUCCUGCUUGUGACCAAAUCCAAACAAUUAGAAAAAAAGAAAGAAAGAAAGAAAGAAAUCCAAGCCAGGAACAAAGUCACCAAAUGCUUUCACAGCUUGGUAGGGCUUUGGGAUGGGUUUCAGCCCUUCUCUCGUUUGCCUUUCUGUUUUGACAGUGGAGGAAUCAGUGGGACUGCACAAUAAACAGAGUGUUUACGGAAAGCAAGUUUUUAUCAGCAUCUGAUGGGUGUUUGUUUGGAGAAGCGUUAGCUCUAACCCAUGGGGGAUGCUGACUUCUGCAGUUUGCUGCCCCCAUUAAGGACUUACUGAUGGGGAAUGGUUGGGAGGUCUGGGUCGUGUCCUUUUGUCUCAGCACACAGAAGAUGGCAGUCGAUGCUCGUUGGGAUGCUGGGACCCAGGGCUGGGGCUGCCACAGCCACUAACUGCAAUGGUGCUCCCAUCACAGGCUCUUCCUGCAUUUUCAAGUCCUUAACCCGUUUUAUUUCUUGGGAAAGCAUCUGGCUGUCAGCUCCGGGUCUGUCCAGUCUGUCAUUUCACAGAAAUACACAAACAUCCCUCUUUGGGUGAUGGAUUGGGGCUGCACUUUGGCUUGGAUCACACAGCCCAGAGUGGCAGAGAGGCUUUGAAGUACUGCAAAUUUCCCAUUCCCUUAGUGCCAGCAGAACAGCCCACGGGAGAGAAAUCCAUGCUGGGAAACAGCCCUUGGCUCAUUUACGGUGGUCCAGCAUCACCCCAUAUAACACGACGCACCCCACUAAUGCACCCUCAGCUCCCUGCACUGCAGAGCGCUUCCAAAGCCGUGCAAUGCCAGCUUCGUGCAUGCACAAAGGGCUUCCACAGCAAAAAGCCCUCUUGCACUGCUUUCCCAGCGCCUCCAUCCUGCACACCGUGGGGAUUUGACAGCAGAUUGCAGGGUCCAGGACACAGCAGCCUGCGGUCGGUGUCCCAUAGUAAGCGCUGGGUCCCAGGACCUUUUGCCUUGCAUGUGAGAGAGCCCCACUUGGAAAAAUAUGAGCAAGCACUCCGAUGAUUUUAUGCUGAUUUACUG
rnacentral:lncRNA from 1 species